GGGUCAGUAGGUUGGUCGUGCCACCGGUACGUACUGGUCUCACUGAUUCCUCCUUCCUGAAGAACCGUAAUGCCAUUAAUUUGGUGUUGCGGGGAAACAGGACUGUUACUUGGAAAAAAUUAGAGUGUUUAAAGCAAGCUAACGCUUGAAUACAUUAGCAUGGAAUAAUGAAAUAGGACGAUCGAUCCUAUUUUGUUGGUUUCUAGGAUUGACGUA
rnacentral:rRNA from 1 species